rnacentral:rRNA from 1 species
CCUUGUGCCAUACCACCGUGAAUACGCCUGUUCAGGGUCAGGCCUGGUUAGUACUGGGACGGGAGACCGCCUGAGAAUACCAGGUGCCGUAAGCA